UGUUUAGUAGCAAUAUUGCCUCUAGAAGAUUAAAAUUACUAUUAGUUAAAGUCUAAUUCUUAUAUGUAAUAUUUUCAGUAAUGCUGGUUGUAUGUCUGGCUUCUUACACUUCUCACAUAUUGACUUGAAUGCUCUUCACUCUUAUUUCUCUUUAGGACUUUUAACUCCACUUUGCUAAUGAAAUUGCAGUAUUUGUUAAGAAAGAGCUAUGAGAUUGAUUUCUACAUUUUUAGUGGGUUGAAGGACCACAAUUGUACGAAUUGAGAACUACAGUAUGUUGUAUUAGAAUUGAAACCACAGCAAGUGAGAAGAUAACUGUGAGAAUCAGCAUCCCAGACCAGUGGGAGUCCAGGAUGAAGAAGAUAAAUGUGGCAUUGGGACAGGUGCUGCCCUCACCUGCACCUCUGGCAGAAAACCACAGAGUGACGUAGCAAUCUUCUCAUGAGCCAUAAAAGGAGGCACAAGCUGUAAAUGAUCCUAUGACCAGACAUGUUAACUUUGAUCAAUUGAUUAAGUUGGUGAGUUCCCCACUGUAAAGGACUCUAUGCAUUCUUUAUAAUCAAUAUGUAUCUUCUGAGGAGAUACUUUGAGACUCUAUAAAUAGACUAUAAAAUUGCAUCUGCUUAGUUUUGGAAUCCACAGAUGAAUCUGGCGGAGUGAACUGUGACACCUGACACAUGGUUACUCGCUAGCUCCGUCACUGCUUCUACGUGUAUCAGUUUUUGUUCUGCAAGGAAAAGCUUUUCCUUCUCUCCGUUUGCUCAUUUACUGCCUGUUAUGGACUAAAUGUUUGUGUCCCCCCUAAAUUCAUGUGCUGAAGCCCUGACCACCAAAGCGAUCGUUUUUGGAGGUGGAGAUGUUGAGAGGUCAUUAGGUUUAGCUGGGGUCACUCUGUCUGCCAUGUGAAAACGUAGUGAGAUGUCAGUUUCUGUAAGCCGGGAAGUGGGUGCUCACCAGAAAGUGAAUAGGCUGGCACCUGGAUCUUGGACUUUCCACCUCCAGAACCAUAAGAAGUAAAUUUUGUUGUUUAAACCACCCACUCUAUGGAUUUUGCUAUAUCAGCCCCUGGUGACUAAUAUAAAAUCAUUCAGUUCAUAUCAGUGUGGACUCAUGGAUUCUUACUUUACACAACUGGUUAUAUUUCUUAGUUAUCAUGAUUUUAUAUUUAAAUUGUUCUGCAUUUUCCCAGCAGCAGCGGUGCCUUCAGGCUAGCUAUUGUGUCCCACCAAUGUCUCUCCAUCAUUCUUUGAGUCUUUCCCUACUUUAUGGCCCAAAAAGAGUUUUCAGGCUCAUUUUUUCCCCCUGUGCCAGCCUUACUCAGGCAUUUCUAUAUAGAUGAACUUUUUAAUGUGAAAAACCAAAGUUUCAAUAGCUAUGGGGUUAUCCCCACUUAGUUCUUAAAUUUAAUUAUUCUGUAAAUAUUAUACCUGAGCUGUAGAUCAUGGAUAAUACUGAGCACAACUCAGGAUUUUACAUGAAGUUCUAUGUGCUUUGCAUUGCUGACAAGUGCUCUGUCUUUAUCCAGCUUAGAGGACUUUUAGAAUUUUGGGGGUGGCACUUACCUGGGAAGCAGAUCAGGGACAUUGUGAGUAAUCUUACAUGAUGGCACAGGGAAGAUAGAAGGAGCUUGUGUUCUGAUAGCCAUGGCGUAAUCUAGACAGUCUCUGGCUUCUCACCCCCUUUCUUCUCCCUCCACACCACCCCUUUAUUUAACAUGUGUCUCACAUGGGACUUAAGAAAGGGUCUGUGUGAUGUACAACUUUGGACAGGUUCCUCCCUUGCUCUAUAACUCCCUUUGUCUCCCACUGCAUUUGGGGUGACAUUCAGGUUGCCAGCUGAAGCCCUUUGGGGAUUAGUAUUUAUCAUCUUAGGUUAACAUCACCGGUUCACUUUUUCUUCUUUAAAAAGUUGCUUUACAGUGUUAUGCACAAAGUGUCUGUUUAAUGAGAGGAUAUGUGAGUGACUACAUGGGUGCAAGAAUGAAGAAUGGUCUGGAACUUUCUUUUCCAGUGGAAUUUUAAAGUGAGAACUAUGCCUUUGCUGACUCCAGCACAACUUGUCUGGAGCUGUUUUCUGCCUGCUUUUGAAGAUCUCUCUCAAUCAGUAAGAAGUGACUGAUGUUGAGUGGCCAAAGCUUUCUAAGCAGAUAACAGUUGACCAAGCUCUUUAGCAACCUAAUAAUUCCAAUCUCAAUAUUGUGGUCAUUCUAUCACACUCACUGAGAAUGGAUUGCACUGUGCAGCUUUGUUAUCCCAUAGGGCCUUUGGAAAUCUACCUACACCUGAUGAACGUUCUCCAAGCCUCAGUUGCAAACACAUGGAGAGGGUGAAAGAUUUGUAUAUUAUUUAAGAUGAUUUCAGCUACAGAUAGUAGAAUACUACUUAAAAAUGGCUGAACUUAUAGGAGUUUAUUGUAUUUCCUAACAAGAAUUAAUUCCAGGUGUUUCUAUCUUUCCAUGCCAUUAUAUCCACAGCACUGGCUGUCAUUCUCUAGCUUCUUUCCUCAUGGUCACAAGAUGGCUGCAGCCCUUCCAGACAUCACAAACUCACCCAAUUAUAUUCAAAGGCAGGAAGAGAGAGGUUUCUCUCUUUGUAUUUCUUUACCAGAGAAGAAAGCUUUUCCACAAAUCCUGUCACCAGUCUUUCCUUCCGAUCUCAUUGGUCCAAAUAAGUACUAAAUUCAGAGGAGUUUGGGAAGGUGAGUAUUUGACAUUUUUAGGAGGGGGCUAGGUGGGCAGUGGAUACUGUUGAGAACAGAUGCUAAAGUGGCAACUCCAGUUACCAUCAUCACACUGAUCCCGAUAAUGUUCUGGAGGAGUCCAGAUGACAUUUUCUGGCUCUAUGGCCUCAGACACUGUCUGGGUAAUAAUAGUAUCUGUGGAUUUUUCAUGGGACACAUAUUUUCUUAAACUAUUUGAUCAAAGGUUGAUGUUUUCAAAUUGAAAGAACAACACAGAUGCUGGUUAUUACUUUUGUUUUGUGAGAACAAUUUUUGCAUUAUUUUUAGAAGAAAUAAGAAAGCUUACAUAAGAACAAAUAAUUACAUAACCACAGUCACAGAAUUAGAAGUUCUCACAUUUCACUGCCUCUUUCCCCUUUCCUCCAUUCCUUCCCUUUUCCUAUUUGAUCUUGCUUGUGGUGUUAGAAGUGCAGAAACACUUGCUUUGGCAGGAUGGUGUGUGCCUAUCAAAUAUCCCUGUAAAAUCCAUCCCAUAAUAUAAAUAAAUAUCACACUUUUUUUUAUCCUUUUUGUUGAAUUAUGCUAUCAAAUGAGAUGUUAAAUGCCAGCUCAUGGGAUGUGCUUGACAGCUAACAAAGUGAAUAUAUGAAUAUAUUCCUAACAAAACAUCUCACAGAAGCUGUAAUCUCUGAAUUGUGACAACUUUGGGUGGAAUCAUUAUAAUAGAAUAUAAUGCACAAAAUGCCUGAAAUACUGUGAUAAGAAUUUCAAAAGCUGCUUAAUGCAAAAACUCAAUGCACUGGGUUAUAAAGGCGGAAAAGGUCUUAAUGUGAAAUAUUUUAAUGAACACUCAUUGUGUGGAAAUGUGAAUAAUGAAAAUGAGAACCGCAUGAUUAUAAAGGAGGAGAGAUAGGAAAAAUAAGUAAGCUUGGAAGGGUUCUAACAGCUAAUGCCUAGCCAAAGGAAAAGGAAGUCAGCUAACGGACUCCUUGCAUGGGAACUGUAUGCACCCAGAUAGCUUGGUGGUGGGGUCAUUACUUGAGUGAACAUUGUCGUGCGUGCUGCCUUGUACGCACUUGAAUAUUCCUCGGAAUGAAAUUGCGGGGUCAAAGUGCAUCGUCAGCUAGAUAAGAUAUUGCAAAAUAUCUCUUUGUAAGUGAUUGAGCAGAGGGAAGAACUUUCGUUUCUUUUAGUCUCAUCCACACUUUAUCUUUUAACACGUAGGUAUUUUUAACCAUCUGCUAGGUACAGGAUGCUGCCUUCUUUACAUUUGUACUUGUCUGGUUGCUACUGAGGUUGAACAUUGCAUUAUAUGUUUGCUGCUCAUUUGGUUUCUUCUGUUAAUAACUUAUUGAAAAGUCUGUUAUCUCCCAUUCUUCAAAUGACUGUGAUCCACACAAAUGUAGGGGACCCUUGGCCUGUGGGGCCUGCUGGAUACAUGGGGCCAGCAUGGGACAUCCAGAGAAACGAGAAUGCGUUUGCGGAGCGGAACUCAGAACUUUGAGAUCCUGGACCCAAAUCCUGAUUAUUAGUCAUAGAUGAAGUUAUGGAUUAUUUGUCCCCACCUGGUGCCCUAUGUCUUGCUGUGCACAAGAGAGAGAAGUAUCCAUGCCUGGACUUGUAACUGCACCUGGCACAGAGUAAGGGAUCUGUAGUUUGCUUGUUGUAGAGUAAGACGAGACAGAUGGCAGAACCACAGAUGCAUACUCCUGCAAUCUGAGAAGCUGCUCUAGAUGAUGUGAAGACCUGUGAACCUGAUGACAGAUUUUUAUUAUUCAUGCUACUACAUUUUGGGUAACUUGUUAUUUAGCAGUAGCUGACCAAUGCACCCACAGGACUCUCUACCUUCUCUUCCAUCAUUUUAUCCUUCAGUGUGUGUAUCGUGGUUUAGAAACACCUUAUAUAUUGCCUCACAAUAUUCCUCAGCUUCACUGGUAUAUUAUUUAAGACUGCAAGUGACAGAAACCAAGGUAAAACUGGCUUUAUGUAAGAGAUAUUCAUUAACUCACAUGACAGGAAGUCCACAUGAAUCCAGAUGUUGAAAUAUUAUUAUUGGGAACUCUUUCUUUUCUGCUGGGUUUUUUUUUUUCUUAUAGUAGCAAGUUGGGCUUGUUAAAUCCCCAGGCUUCCAUUCAACCAAGUUUCGUACACUUAGUAAAAACAAAGUUUUUUUGUUUGCUGUUUCAAUGCUUAGUGCAAAAGGAUAAACUUUAAGCUGGUAAACACCUCAGACAAAAUGAAAAACCAAUAAUACUAAUUUGUCUUUAUUGUAAAUUUUGAUAUUUUGUUCAUUGUGGAUUCUUUGACAUGUAUUUUGAUUUUUAAGAAUAUUC